AGAGAGAGAGAGAGAGAGAGAGAGAGAGAGAGAGAGAGUUUUAAACAGUUAUGUGAUAUGAAAUUAUUAUUAUUCAUUGUCACUCAAAUGCUAUUGCUUUCCACACCCUUGUUAUGAACUCUGAAAAUCUGCAGGUGUAUGACACGUGUCUUACAGGUUUAUGACACGUGUCUUACAGGUGUGUGGCACUUGUCUUACAGGUGUGUGGCACUUGUCUU